GUGCUUAACACAUGCAAGUCGAACGAUGAAGCCCUUCGGGGUGGAUUAGUGGCGAACGGGUGAGUAACACGUGGGCAAUCUGCCCUGCACUCUGGGACAAGCCCUGGAAACGGGGUCUAAUACCGGAUACGAGCCUCCCGGGCAUCUGGGAGGUUGGAAAGCUCCGGCGGUGCAGGAUGAGCCCGCGGCCUAUCAGCUUGUUGGUGAGGUAACGGCUCACCAAGGCGACGACGGGUAGCCGGCCUGAGAGGGCGACCGGCCACACUGGGACUGAGACACGGCCCAGACUCCUACGGGAGGCAGCAGUGGGGAAUAUUGCACAAUGGGCGAAAGCCUGAUGCAGCGACGCCGCGUGAGGGAUGACGGCCUUCGGGUUGUAAACCUCUUUCAGCAGGGAAGAAGCGAAAGUGACGGUACCUGCAGAAGAAGCGCCGGCUAACUACGUGCCAGCAGCCGCGGUAAUACGUAGGGCGCAAGCGUUGUCCGGAAUUAUUGGGCGUAAAGAGCUCGUAGGCGGCUUGUCGCGUCGAUUGUGAAAGCCCGGGGCUUAACUCCGGGUCUGCAGUCGAUACGGGCAGGCUAGAGUGUGGUAGGGGAGAUCGGAAUUCCUGGUGUAGCGGUGAAAUGCGCAGAUAUCAGGAGGAACACCGGUGGCGAAGGCGGAUCUCUGGGCCAUUACUGACGCUGAGGAGCGAAAGCGUGGGGAGCGAACAGGAUUAGAUACCCUGGUAGUCCACGCCGUANACGGUGGGCA
rnacentral:rRNA from 1 species